rnacentral:rRNA from 1 species
UGCUUAAACGCUAGCUUAAUUCCACCCCUAACCUAACAAUACCCCUACCCCCUGAUGCUUUAUGCAAUUAAACUAAACCAUUCUCCCUCUUUAGUACAGGCGAUGGAAAAAGAACUAUAAGCAAUAGAAAGAGUACCGCAAGGGAAAGCUGAAAAAGAAAUGAAACAAACCUCUAAAGCGCGAGAAAGCAAAGAUCAGCCCUUGUACCUUUUGCAUCAUGAAUUAGCCAGAAAUUAAUCAAGCAAAGGGAUCUUUAGUUUGAGACCCCGAAACCUGGCGAGCUACCUCAGAGCAGCCUAAAUACAGGGCACACCCGUUUCUGUGGCAAAAGAAUGGGGAGACUCUCAGGUAGAGGUGAUAAGCCUACCGAGCCUGGUUAUAGCUGGUUGCCCGUGAACUGGAUAGGAGUUCAGCCCUUUUAAUUCUCGAUACCCCCUUGGUAUAUCCUUACAACGUCUAAGGAGAAGUAAAAGGAGUUACUCAAGAGGGGGACAGCUCUCUUGAGAUAAGACACAACUUUUUUGAUUGGGUAAAGACCAUAAUAGCUAAGGUAAAACACAUUAGUAGGCCUAAAAGCAGCCAUCUUAUCAGAAAGCGUUAAAGCUCAAGUGUUCCUAGCGCCUUGGAUACUGGUAAAUAUUUCUUAACCCUUCAAGCCUUAUCGGGCCAUUCCAUUUUUAACUAUGGAAGAGAUAAUGCUAGUAUGAGUAACGUGAGGUUGAGCACCUCUCCUGGCACAAGCAUACCUCGGAACGGACUAACCCCCGAACUUUAACGGCUCCACUAUUGAGGACACUGCACAUCUAAAACUAUAACAAGAAAACCCUUCACUGCUAACCGUUAACCUUACACUAGAGUGCCUUUAAAGGAAAGACUAAAAGGGAAAGAAGGAACUCGGCAAACCCCAGCCUCGCCUGUUUACCAAAAACAUCGCCUCUUGCAUUUCUAGUAUAAGAGGUCCCGCCUGCCCUGUGACACACGUUUAACGGCCGCGGUAUUCUGACCGUGCAAAGGUAGCGCAAUCACUUGUCUUUUAAAUAGAGACCUGUAUGAAUGGCACAACGAGGGCUUAACUGUCUCCUUUCCCCAGUCCAUGAAAUUGAUCUUUCCGUGCAGAAGCGGAAAUUCUAACAUAAGACGAGAAGACCCUGUGGAGCUUCAGACACCAAGGCAGCCCCCCCCCUACCAAAGCUUGAUUAACAGCUCACACCCUAUGGCCAUUCCCCUGCCUUAUUGUCUUUGGUUGGGGCGACCGCGGAGUAACAUUAAACCUCCACGAGGACUGGAAACUCUUCCAUUCUACAACCCAGAGCACCCGCUCUAAGCAACAGAACUUCUGACCAAAACCGAUCCGGCGAUUUGCCGAUCAACGAAUCCAGUUACCCCAGGGAUAACAGCGCAAUCCUCUUCUAGAGCCCAUAUCGACAAGGGGGUUUACGACCUCGAUGUUGGAUCAGGACAUCCUAAUGGUGCAACCGCUAUUAAGGGUUCGUUUGUUCAACGAUUAACAGUCCUACGUGAUCUGAGUUCAGACCGGAGUAAUCCAGGUCAGUUUCUAUCUAUGCCGUGCUUUUUUCUAGUACGAAAGGACCGAAAAAAGGGGGCCAAUGUCUCAAGGCACGCCCCAUCCCUACCCUCUGACACCCACUAAAGAGGGUAAUGAGACACCCGUCUCCGCCAUAAAAUACGGCUU